rnacentral:hammerhead_ribozyme from 1 species
AUCCAGAUGACGAGUCCCAAAUGAAACGAAGUACGCGUCCUAGAU